rnacentral:lncRNA from 1 species
GCAGUGUAGCACUCGCGCCCUUGGGGGCUAGCGUUUGGCCGGAGCUACACACUCUUUACUCACGCACGCACACCGCCGUACACAGCACAAUCGUUCACCGUCCCGCCAAAGGCUCGUCUCUCGGGUUCUGCCUAGUGGAAGGAGUCGGACAACGCCGCACGUCACGGGCGUUUCGGAUUUCUUGCUUCCCAAAGGUUUGACGGCGGCCACCGGCGCCCCGGCCCAGCUCUGCUUUCCUUUGCUGACUCCUUCCUUUAGGUGUGAAUUUUAAAAUGCUGAUACCGCCCCAAGAGAGCUGAGUCAAGUGAGGCAAACGUUCGCCUGUUGUUCUCCUGACAGACUCCCUGCAGUGGGCAGGGGAAAUGUGGCCUUGGCCGACAUUAAUGAAGUGCCAGGAUGGAGGGAGGGGGCCUGCUGAUUUGUUCUGUUUUACUUUUUAAGGGUAACUAGAGCGUUACUGGAGUCGUCUGUGGGUUUGGGGAGUAUGUGGCGCGUGUGUGUGUCACACAUUUCACUGGCAACUCCCGCCAACCCCUUCCCAAGAAAUGAAGGCUCUAAUGUGGGCAGUUCUGCAACAAAGGUGAAACUUCCCCAAAUCACGAUUCCCCGCAAGAUGAGAGAGCAGGUGCAGCAUCCAUUUUCCCACUAUCACGCUUGAGAUGGUGGCUUUGGGCACUGCCGGGUGCCCCGACAUCCUUCCCAGAGCCCAGCCUUCCCACCCAGGCCCGGCCCUGCGCGGCCGCCUGCCUUUGCAUCAGAGACCGCGGCUGUGCCAUUGCCAAGGUGGGCAGCGCCGCCUCGCUUCCCCAUUCCUCCGUCUCCCACGCCUCUUGCGUGUUUGAGUCGCGAAGUGAUGGACUUUAAAUCUCAGAGGAGGAAUGAGAAACUUGGUUAGUGGCUCUCUUGGCAUGUUCGUAGCCCUGUGGUUGAAGUGGCUGAAACCUGCGUUGAGCCUCAGUCCAAGCAGCUGGGGCCACACCAGUUUGCAAAAGCGGAUGUGGCAGUUUCCACCGCAGCAGCAGCCUGCUGGCGCCUCAUCAGAUUCUCCUUUGGAGGAAGUAUCUUCUUCCCUUCAUUCUCGGUGAAUGGCAUCCAGAGAUAACCAAAAUCAGGUGUAUCUAGUUUCAAGUUCUGUCUUGCAACCGUGAUAAUUGGAGGAUGCAAACUUUACACUUUCUUCUCUAGCUGUCUACCACCACUGCUGCGCUUGUGGAUGACUGCAGGAACACCGGGUACUUGCCACAAGUAUCUCUCCAGAUUCAUCAGCCUUUCACCUGUGACAAGCUCAGUCAAGAAGUGGCUCCUAAGUAAAAGCUGGGGAAGAACAAGGAAGAUAGAGCUCAGAGUAGAAAGCUGUGAAGUUCUGCACAACAGGUCCCCUUGGCCUGCUCUAACAGUUGGAAGACAGGCAUGGUAGCUCAUGUGGAAGCUUCCCGAGGCCCUCACCCAGAAGCAGAUGCUGGAGCCAUGCUUGUACAGCUUGCAGAACUGGCAACUUGUAUUGUAGGAAUCAUCAGGCAAUAAGAUGCAGGGAAAACUCUGGAUACUGCAUACCCAAAGUUGAAUACAUUUUUCUUCUUUUUGAAACUUUUAAUACACAUAAAGACAAGUGCACGUAUUAUAAGUAUAUAGUUCAGUUUAUUUCGACAACCUGAAUAAACCCAUGUAAUCAGCACCCAGAUCAGGAAACAGAAUCUGGAAGCUUCCUUGUGUCCCCUUCCAACCACUAUUUCCCCUCAAAGUUAAUCCUGACUUCUAACUGCAUAGAUUUGUCUUGUCUAUUUUUGUACUUUAUAUAACUAGAAUAAUAGAAUAGAUACUCUUUUGUAUCUGU